UGGGGAAUUUUGGACAAUGGGGGCAACCCUGAUCCAGCCAUUCCGCGUGCGGGAAGAAGGCCUUCGGGUUGUAAACCGCUUUCGGCAGGGAAGAAACGGCGAGAGCUAAUAUCUCUUGCUAAUGACGGUACCUGAAGAAGAAGCACCGGCUAACUACGUGCCAGCAGCCGCGGUAAUACGUAGGGUGCGAGCGUUAAUCGGAAUUACUGGGCGUAAAGCGUGCGCAGGCGGUUUUGUAAGACAGAUGUGAAAUCCCCGGGCUUAACCUGGGAACUGCGUUUGUGACUGCAAGACUCGAGUGCGGCAGAGGGGGGUGGAAUUCCACGUGUAGCAGUGAAAUGCGUAGAGAUGUGGAGGAACACCGAUGGCGAAGGCAGCCCCCUGGGUCGACACUGACGCUCAUGCACGAAAUCGUGGGGAGCAAACAG
rnacentral:rRNA from 1 species